UGAAAAAGUCUUAUAUCGCCCAGCACUAGUUGGUAAUUACAUUAAAUUAAUUUUAUAUGUAAUUUGAAAUUAAAUCCCAAUGUUAGUGGGUUCAAAAUAAAAUUCAAGUUGUAAUUACUUAAAGAAAUUGAAUAUGUAACUUAUUUUUUCUCCACUGUAACUUUUGAUUUCAAGUUCCCUCCCCUACCCACUUAACUAGCCCGGGAAAAUUCAUAUAUGGUGCAUUGCUUGGUGGACUUGCAAGCUUAUGUAAAAGACAUUUCAAGAUAAAGGAGGAAUUCAAGAGUUCAACCACUGUAAGCCUUGAAUGGCUACACUUGACCCCAAAACUGAUGGACGUCAUUUUUUCAAGGGGAGGAGCUAAAGGAGUGAGAAUCAGGCAGAUCAAGUACAUGCUUCUUGAGCACAAUUCAACUGAAAUACACAGAGAAGUAGCCAUCUGCUGCCUUAUCACAUACCUUGGAGAGAAGGAAGAGGACCUUUUCAUGGAGUUUGGUGACAAUUUAAGGCCAACCUUGAAAGGCAGGUGAUGAAAACUGCCAUCAUCGGUGACCGGUACACCCCUGGAUCUGACCAUAAGACUGCAACCAUUGUGGUGCGGGAACAAAAAUCCUGGAGGGCCAGAAUUUCCCAAGGUGCUGUGUGUUACUCAUGGGCAUAAUAUAUGCUCUCAAUCUGAGCUAAUGCAAGGAUCUGAAAUAUACUUUUGAAGUUUUUCAGAAGCUGUUCCUUGACCUUGAUGGAACCAGCAUUAUGUUAAAGAUGCUGACUCUGUUUCAAAAAUUGUUAACUGUUUUGAAUCCUGUAUGUGUAACAUUGAUCUUAAAGGUGUUUGCUGCAUUGUGUAAAAGAAAGAUGCAAGAUCUUGUAAAGUUUGGUAGGCACUGAAAGUUGACAUUUAUUGAACACUU